GAGAGUUUGAGUCUUCGUCUCUUUGACUUCGAGAUUGACUGAUGAUGACCGAUGAAGGGUCGCCGAAGCCGAUGAGGCGAUGCGUCGAUGGCCGUCGGCGGAUGAGAGUCGAGAGAUUGAGACAAGUUCGAGAUCAGGGUUUGGCCGUUUGGGAUGAGAGAUUGAGACGAGAGUUCGAGAUCUGGGUUUGGGAUUUGGGAAUUGAGAUUUGAGGGUUACGACUUCAGUUCAGUCUCUGGGCUAGUAGACUAAGUGGGCUGGCUGAGUGUUAUUAUUUUAAGUAGGAGUGACU
rnacentral:lncRNA from 1 species